rnacentral:tRNA from 1 species
AGCGCAGUGUAGUGGUUUGCAGCGUGGUUGUUGAUCACGCGGUCGUGGGUUCGAGUCCCCGCGGCGCCA